rnacentral:rRNA from 1 species
AGAGUUUGAUCAUGGCUCAGAUUGAACGCUGGCGGCAUGCCUUACACAUGCAAGUCGAACGGCAGCGCGGACUUCGGUCUGGCGGCGAGUGGCGAACGGGUGAGUAAUACAUCGGAACGUACCCUGUUGUGGGGGAUAACUAGUCGAAAGAUUAGCUAAUACCGCAUACGACCUGAGGGUGAAAGUGGGGGGACCGCAAGGCCUCACGCAGCAGGAGCGGCCGAUGUCUGAUUAGCUAGUUGGUGGGGUAAAGGCCCACCAAGGCGACGAUCAGUAGCUGGUCUGAGAGGACGAUCAGCCACACUGGGACUGAGACACGGCCCAGACUCCUACGGGAGGCAGCAGUGGGGAAUUUUGGACAAUGGGGCAACCCUGAUCCAGCAAUGCCGCGUGUGUGAAGAAGGCCUUCGGGUUGUAAAGCACUUUUGUCCGGAAAGAAAUCGCGCUGGUUAAUACCUGGCGUGGAUGACGGUACCGGAAGAAUAAGCACCGGCUAACUACGUG